rnacentral:rRNA from 1 species
GCCGUAGGUGAACCUGCGGAAGGCUCUAUAUUGAAUUUUUAUAAUGAGGAGGUGAGUUGGUGCGCCCCUUUUACCCCUUAAUUUGGCAGGGGGGGGCAUGUGACCUCCUUCUUUUUCAUUCAUCACACCCGCUGUGCACUUGUGAGACAACAAUAGUUGGAGGAUUUUAUUUCAUCCAUUUGCUGUCUACUUAAUUUACACACACUCUACUUAAUUUAAACUGAAUGUAAUUGAUGUAACGCAUCUAAUACUAAGUUUCAACAACGGAUCUCUUGGCUCUCGCAUCGAUGAAGAACGCAGCGAAAUGCGAUAAGUAAUGUGAAUUGCAGAAUUCAGUGAAUCAUCGAAUCUUUGAACGCACCUUGCGCUCCUUGGUAUUCCUUGGAGCAUGCCUGUUUGAGUAUCAUGAAAUCUUCAAAGUAAACCUUUUGUUAAUUCAAUUGGUCUUUUUUACUUUGGUUUUGGAGGAUCUUAUUGCAGCUUCACACCUGCUCCUCUUUGUGCAUUAGCUGGAUCUCAGUGUUAUGCUUGGUUCCACUCGGCGUGAUAAGUUAUCUAUCGCUGAGGACACCCGUAAAAAAGGUGGCCAAGGUAAAUGCAGAUGAACCGCUUCUAAUAGUCCAUUGACUUGGACAAUAUUCUAUUUUAUGAUCUGAUCUCAAAUCAGGUAGACACCCAGCCCG